UCAACCACCUGUUUCCUGUGGCUCAUCUGCGCAGUGUCUUAAGCUGUGGCUGCCCUCUUGUCUUGUCACGAAUACCACUCUGUUCUGCUGUCGCUGAACCUGCCUGUUGACGCCACUCUCCGCCUGCAGUCACCAGCCCUGCAUGACUCGUCUUCCCUGCCUGUGAUUGCUACCUGCUCUGUCACCUGAGAGGAUUCCCCCCACCAGUCCAUUCUGCUAAAUUCUCUGAUUCAGAAAUAAACUGUUAAAACGUUGA